rnacentral:snoRNA from 1 species
CCCAGCUGUAGGCAACUGCCUAGGAUACCCUGUGUCUAGGCAAGUGUUACACUACUGGGAGAAAAGCAGCUAAAAGCUGGCAAGCAUUCUGGCCUGAUUAAUGCCACAUU